UAUCAAUAGCUCAUCAAGUGCAUUUGCAAUCUCGAUAAAGGCUGUGGAGGAAAACGUAAUUUGUCAAACGUGCUGAAAUGCUCUGCACUGCCUUAUGCAUGUUAACUAAAGUUGUCGACAAUCUCGUGCUUGUGUGUACUGACAAGAGUAUCUGACAUGUACCUUAUUUCAGAUUUCAGC
rnacentral:lncRNA from 1 species